GACGAACGCUGGCGGCGUGCUUAACACAUGCAAGUCGAACGAAGAGCGACGGAAGCUUGCUUCUAUCAAUCUUAGUGGCGGACGGGUGAGUAACGCGUAAUCAACCUGCCCUUCAGAGGGGGACAACAGUUGGAAACGACUGCUAAUACCGCAUACGAUCUAAUCUCGGCAUCGAGGAUGGAUGAAAGGUGGCCUCUACAUGUAAGCUAUCACUGAAGGAGGGGAUUGCGUCUGAUUAGCUAGUUGGAGGGGUAACGGCCCACCAAGGCGAUGAUCAGUAGCCGGUCUGAGAGGAUGAACGGCCACAUUGGGACUGAGACACGGCCCAGACUCCUACGGGAGGCAGCAGUGGGGAAUCUUCCGCAAUGGACGAAAGUCUGACGGAGCAACGCCGCGUGAGUGAUGACGGCCUUCGGGUUGUAAAGCUCUGUUAAUCGGGACGAAAGGCCUUCUUGCGAAUAGUGAGAAGGAUUGACGGUACCGGAAUAGAAAGCCACGGCUAACUACGUG
rnacentral:rRNA from 1 species